rnacentral:rRNA from 1 species
CGGAGGGUGCAAGCGUUAUCCGGAUUUACUGGGUUUAAAGGGUGUGUAGGCGGACUUUUAAGUCAGGGGUGAAAUCCCGAGGCUCAACCUCGGAACUGCCUUUGAUACUAUUGGUCUUGAAUCUCGUUGAGGUGGGCGGAACGGGUCAUGUAGCGGUGAAAUGCAUAGAUAUGACCCGGAACACCGAUUGCGAAGGCAGCCCGCUAAGCAAGCAUUGACGCUGAGGCACGAAAGCGUGGGGAUCAAACAGGAUUAGAUACCCUGGUAGUCCACGCCCUAAACGAUGAUUACUCGACGUUGGCGAUACACUGAUCAGCGUCCAAGCGAAAGCAUUAAGUAAUCCACCUGGGAAGUACGUUCGCAAGAAUG